rnacentral:rRNA from 1 species
UUAAACGACUCUCGGCAACGGAUAUCUCGGCUCUCGCAUCGAUGAAGAACGUAGCGAAAUGCGAUACUUGGUGUGAAUUGCAGAAUCCCGUGAACCAUCGAGUCUUUGAACGCAAGUUGCGCUCGAAGCCUUCGGGCCAAGGGCACGCCUGCCUGGGCGUCACG